AGAGUUUGAUCCUGGCUCAGGAUGAACGCUGGCGGCGUGCCUAACACAUGCAAGUCGAACGGAAAUUACAGAAGGAAGUUUUCGGAUGGAAUUUUGUAAUUUUAGUGGCGGACGGGUGAGUAACACGUGGGUAACCUGCCCUGUACCGGGGGAUAACAGUUGGAAACGGCUGUUAAUACCGCAUAAGCGCACAGCUUCGCAUGAAGCAGUGUGAAAAACUCCGGUGGUACAGGAUGGACCCGCGUCUGAUUAGCUUGUUGGCGGGGUAACGGCCCACCAAGGCGACGAUCAGUAGCCGGCCUGAGAGGGUGAACGGCCACAUUGGGACUGAGACACGGCCCAGACUCCUACGGGAGGCAGCAGUGGGGAAUAUUGCACAAUGGAGGAAACUCUGAUGCAGCGACGCCGCGUGAGCGAUGAAGUAUUUCGGUAUGUAAAGCUCUAUCAGCAGGGAAGAUAAUGACGGUACCUGACUAAGAAGCCCCGGCUAACUACGUGCCAGCAGCCGCGGUAAUACGUAGGGGGCAAGCGUUAUCCGGAUUUACUGGGUGUAAAGGGGGCGCAGACGGCGAUGCAAGUCUGAAGUGAAAUCCCACGGCUCAACUGUGGAAUUGCUUUGGAAACUGUAUUGCUUGAGUGCUGGAGAGGUAAGCGGAAUUCCUGGUGUAGCGGUGAAAUGCGUAGAUAUCAGGAAGAACAUCAGUGGCGAAGGCGGCUUACUGGACAGCAACUGACGUUGAGGCCCGAAAGC
rnacentral:rRNA from 1 species